rnacentral:lncRNA from 1 species
GGCGAACGGACCGGCGCGGCCUUUUAACAUGGCGGCGGCGGCGGCGGCAGAAGAAGAAGAAGAAGAAGAAGCAGUAGUAGGGAGGGCGGCAGCCGCGUCGGCGUUCGGUUGCCGUUGGCCUCCCUCAAGAUGUCGGCGGCGGCCCGGUGGCGCGCGGCGUGACGUAGUCAGGCCCCGCCGGCGGGAGGGGGGCGGGGGAGAGGCCGGAGCGGCGCAGGAGGAGGAGGAGGAGGCGGCGGCGGCGGCGGUGGCGGCGGCGGCGGCGGCGGGACCGGGACCGGCCGGGCCCCCGGGGGGGGAUUUAAAGGGACCAUGUCCCCGGCGAGGUGGUUGUUGUGGAGGCCGGAACCGGGCAGGAGGCGGCGGGGGCGGCGGUUGCAGCAGCAGCGACGCCGCUGAGGAGGAGGAGGAGGAGGAGAAGAAGAAGAAGAAGAAGAAGAAGAAGAAGCAGCAGCAGCAGCAGCCCGGUGGGCCCGGCCCCGGGGGACCGGUGGGAUUUUUCCGGCAGUCCCUGGCCGCCAACCCUCCCGAGUGCCGGCGCGGUGUUUUUUUCCGAGUGACACAGCACAAUCGGCGAGGGAUGGAGAAAGCUGUCCCUAAUUUCUCAGAGCGCCAAGGAGAUGGAGGCAGAGCCCUGUUAAUGACACCAGAGCCAAACAAAGAGACUUUUCCUGCCCUUGAGUGCCCCCAAGGCGAAGAACGAAGAGCCGCUUUCCUUCAAGAUGCAAAAAAGCCCCUGGAGAACCCGGCUUUAUCUGGGACGUCGGUGGAAACAGAGACAGAGCUCGAGGAAGAUGCUUUCUACGCCGGGGAUGAUCUGGCGACAAUGAGCAGGGAGGGGAAGGGACCCUCCAGCACCGAGCUGCACUCGUUGCAAGAGGAUCCCGACUUCUUCUCAUCGCUCUCCCGUCAGGAGCCCGACAUCGCCCUGGAAGCGCACGAUGUGGCUGGUAAGUCCCCGGUCGGUGCCAUUGGGGUCGCUUCUUGGGGGACGGGGACGUCUCUUGGCCCUUCGUG